rnacentral:lncRNA from 1 species
UAAAAAGAAUAAGUAUAUUAAAAUUAUGUAAUAAUAUAUAAUACUUAAUCUAAAAUACAUAAUAUAUCUUAUUCUUUUAAAUUUUCUAUUCUUAAUUUUUUUUCGAUCUAUGUAUUACAAAAUUUAGUGGAGAUUUAAUUAUUGAAACUCAAUUCCAAAAUAAUAACUUAAUCAUCAUCAUUAUUAAGAUUUUUUUUUUUUCAAUAUUAUAUUAUAUAAAUGUAUGAAUAAUUAAAUAAUAUAUUUGUAUAAUAUAUAAUAUAUUGGUAUUAAUAUCAAUAUAAAUAAUGGUUGUUGAAAGAGUAAAUUAAAUAAUAAUAAAAAUAAUAAUGCUUUAGAAACUUUUUAUUCAAUUAAUUAUUAUACUUGAGUAACAAUAUUUUUAAUCAAAAAAACAAAAAAAAAAAAAAAGAAAGCCGGUGAAAUACAUAUUGAAAAGAAUCAUAAAAAUAUUAUUAUUAUUAUUAUCACCAUCUUUACUUUUUUUUUUUUUUUUUUUUUUAAUUAAAAAUAAAAAAUAGGAUAUUGCUCAAGUAUUAAUAAUUCAUGAUAUUUUAUAAUAAACAACUAUUGUAAAAUGUGUUUAUAAAAUCAUCAAAAGGACUAAUAAUAACUUAAAGAAUAUGAAUAUUGCUAAUGAUUACAAGAACUAUUAAUCAGGUUUAUAAGAAAAUAAAUUAUUCAAAUUAAUAAUAAUAAUAAUAAUAAUAAUAAUAAUAAUAAUAGUGAUAUCAUACCAAUUGAUGAUUUGUAAGUGUAAAUAUGAAUAUAAAUGAAAUGAGUAAUGUGGGAAUAUGAAUAAUUUAUUAUAUUGAUAAUUGAAAAAAAAAAAAAACAAAUACAUGUAUAUUUAUUAUUUGUUUAUUCAGAAGGUAAUUAGUUUUUAUUUACCAUUAAAAUAAUUUACUGGCAUUUUUAGUAGUAAAUUAUAAAUCAAUUCAGUCAAAUUAAUAUUCUAGAUAAAGUAUUGAAUUAUUAUAUUACAAUUAGUAUGAGUGCUCAAGUUGUGGAAUGUAUUUAUCUAAUAUACUACAUAUGCUUGUGUUAAAUUUAAAUAAAAAAAAAAUAUAUCAUUAAAAAAAAGUUUUGUUUUGGUGUAAAAUAUUUUAAUUUAUGUAAAAUUAAUUAAUUAAUAAAAAUAAAUGUUUAUAAAUAUAAAUUAAUAAUAUUGAUUUUUAAAUCAUUUAAAUAUUUAUAUAAAGAAAAUAAUUUCUUAUUAUGAAUGGAAAAAAUUCAAUAAAUAUUAAUUUAUUAAUGUGGUUAUAUCUUGAUUAUUAUCUCAAUCUUUUCAAAUAAUGUACAAAAUUAUUAUAACAUGUGAUAUGAGUUUAAUAAUUAAUUUAUUUAAUUUAAAAAAAAAAAAAAGGAAAAUAGAAAAAAAAACUAUUAUGUUUGAUGUGUGUAUUAUUAUUGUAUAUGAUCAAUUAUGGAAAUAACAAAUAGAGGAAAUAAAAAAAAAAAUAAAACAUAUAGUUUCUUAUGACUUAUAUUAUGUAAUAUUUUUGAGUAAUGAAGAGUUAUUGUAAAUUAUUGUUGUGGAAUAAAUAAAAUAAUAAUAAUACAAUAAUAUCAAGCUUAUUUGUAUUAUUCUAAUAAUAGUACAAUAAUGAGAUAUUAUUAUUAUUAUUAUUAUUAUUAUUAUUAUUAUUAUUAUUAUUAUUAUUAUUAUCAUUAUUAUUAUUAAUUGGAUAAUUAUUAAAUAUUAUUUUUUGUAAACCAAGUAAUGUGUAAAAUAUGUUAUUAAUAAAAGGAAAUAAAAAAAUUUAAAAAAAAAAUGUGAAUAUAUCAAGUAUUGUUUGUGGUUUAAAUCAAGAUAAAUAAUAAUAAUCAUAAUAAAGAAGGAAAGAGAGAGAAAAAAAAAAAGAAGUGAUUGGUUAAAUAAUAUCAAACAUAAUAAUUAUUAAUAUUAUUAUUAUAUUUGUGGAAUAAAUAGUGUUUCAAGUGUUGUGAAAUAAGUAUUAUUGUUAAUUACAAGUGUAAAAGUAAAGAACAAUAUUAAUUUAAUAAAAAAAAUAAAAAAAAAAGAAUUAUGUAUUGUAUUAUGUUGUGUUAUGUUUUUUUAUGUUAUGUUGUUUUGUAAUUAGUGAGUGAAUUGUAAUGUUCUUGUGUAAUAUAUUAUUUAUGUGU